AGUCCCCCACGUGCCUGGAAGCCUGUGGACAGAGGAUGGAGAACUCGGAGUCUCCUUUGUGCCUGGGUUUCCCAUGGGCCCUGCCCGAGGAGAGGGUGCCCCAAGCCUGAGGCGCUCUCCCUGCCUGCCUGCUCUGUGGCGCUGUGGGGCACAGUCCUGAGGCUGCAAGAAGGCGCUGGCUGCUCCGCGCCUAAUCACGGCGUCCUCCCUCCCUGGACCCCUCACCUGCGUUCCUGCCUCCACCCUGGGCCUGAGUCGCGCCCCUGCCCUGCCCAGGGCUGGGAGUCGCUCCCAAAUCGGAGCUCAUCCUCUGUGCCUCCUCCGGAACCUGCGUGUCCGUGCCUCCCGUGCCCCUCCAGUCUCAGGUGGGCUUAGAAGAAGCAGAUGCCCUGAUUCCAGCCAUGGAGACCUGAGGUUGCCUCUGCAAUGCCUGGAAUUUUGGCAGCCAUCUUGGGAUCAUGAGAAAAGUCAGCCUGAAGGAAACGUGCUGAGAAGGACAAAGGAGAAAGGCGAAGGGCCUGAAAGUGGCUGUGGGAAGCUUCUUUGGUCUAUUCCCUCUCCUGAGAGUCCACGAAAUGUGAGAUGGGGGUCACUUCUCAGCUGAGUGUGCCCCCCAGUGACUGCUGGGCUCCAGCUUCUCCUGCAUGCAGCAAGGCUUGGAAGCCCCUCAGCCCCGCCACACUCUACUCACCUUCAUCCAGUGCAGCUACACAGGGCAUGGUCCAGCCACAAGCUCAUCUGUUCCAGACACCACCCGAGGCCCCUCAAUCUGACCACAUCUAGAUCAGAGGCUGCCAAGGAGGCUCAAGACUGCAUAGACUUGAAUGGCAGGGGACAAGCUCAGGAUGGCCUGAGACCUGAUUUUAUUUUUUAUGGGACUAUGUAGUGUACAAUGUGAUGUUUUGAUAUAAGUAUGCAUUUUGAAAUGAUUACAUUGGGCCAAUUAAGUUUUUGAUCACUUCACAUACUUAUCAUUUUGGGGGGGUGCUGAGUGCAUUUAGGAUCUACUUUCAGUAAUUUUCAAGUGUACAUACAUUAUUAUUAACUAAUAAUGCACCUUAUAUACCAUUCCAUAAAAUAGAUCUCCAGAACUUAUUUAUCCUGUCUCUUUGACCAACAUCUCCCUAUCCUCCUCAUCCCCUAGUCCCUAGCAAUGACCAUUGUUCUCUCUGCUUCUAUAAGGUCAACUUUUUAGAUUCCACAUAUAAGUGAGGUCAUGUAGUAUUUGUUUUUCUGUUACUGACUUAUUUCACUUAGCGCGAUGUCCUCCAGGUUCAUCUAUGGCAGGAUUUUCUUCUUUUUUAGGUCCGCAUUGUACCAUGUGUCUAUUUUCCAUGUUUUCUUUAUCCAUUCAUCUGUUGAUGGAUACUUAGGUUGAUUUCAUAUCUUGGCUAUUGUGAACAAUGCUACAAUGAAUGAGGGUAGAUAUCUCUUCACCAUAUUGAUUUCACUUCCUUUGGGCAUAUACCUGGAAAUGAGAUUGUCGGAUCAAAUAGUAGUUCUAUUCUUAGUUUUCGAGAAAACUCUAAACUAUUUUCAAUAAUGGCUGUACUAAUUCACUGUUGUUCAUCAACAGUGUACAAGGGUUCCCUUUUCUCCAUAUCAUUGCUAGUACCUGUUAUCUUUUAUCUUUUUUAUAAUAGCCGUUCUAACAGGUGUGAGAUGAUAUCUCAUCUUAGUUGUCAUUUGCAUUUUCCUGAUUAGUGAUGUUGAGUACUUUUCAUACACCUCUUGACCAUUUUUAUGUCCCUUUUGAGAAAUGCCUAUUCAGAUCCUUCAGCCACUUUUAAAUCAAGCUAUUAGUUUUCUUGUUAUUGAGUUAUUUGAAUUCCUUAUGUAUUUUGGAUAUUAAUUCAUUAUCAGAUAUAGAGUUUGCAAAUAUUUUCUCCUAUUCCAUAGCUUGCCUCUUCACUCUGUUGAUUGUUUCCUUUCCUGUGCAGAAGCUAUUAAGUUCAAUGCAAUUUCUUUGAUCUAUUUUACUUAUGUUUUCUGUGCCAUUGGGGCCAUAUCCAAAAAAAUCCUUUUCCAGACCAGGACCCUGGAGCUUUCCCCCUGUUUUCUUCUAGUAGUUUUACAGUUUCAGAUCUUACAUUAAGUUUUUGAUUCAUCUUAAAUUGAUUUUUGUAUGUGGUAUGAGAUGAGGGUCUAAUUUUAUUCUUUUGCAUAUGGAUUUCACAGCAUCAUUUAUUGAAGAAACUGUUCAUUCUCUAUUUUAUGUUCUUGGCAACUUUGUCAAAGAUCAAUUGACCACAAAUGCAUGAAGUUAUGUCUGGGAUCUUUAUUCUUUCCAUUGGCAUCUGUAUCUCUUUUUAUGCCACUAACAUGCUGUUUUGAUUACUAUAGCUUUUUAGUAUAUUUUGAAAUCAGGUGCUGUGAUGUUUCCAGCUUUGUUUUUAUUCCCUCAAGAUUGUUUUGGCUCUUUCGGGUCCAUACAAAUUUUAAGAUUUUUCUUUCCCUUUCUGUGAAAAAUGACACUGGGAUCCUUGCAGGGAUUGAAUUGAAUCUGUAGAUUGCUUGGGUAGUUUGGACAUUUUAACAAUAUUAAUUUUUCCAAAGCAUGGACCAACUAUCCUUCCAUUUAUUCAUGUCUUCUUCAAUUUAUUUCCUCAAUGUAUUACACUUUUCUGUGUAGAGAUUUUUCAAUUUUUUUGAUUAAAUUCAUUCCUAAGUAUUUUAUUAUUUGUAAUGUCAUUGUAAAUCAGAUUGCUUUCUUAAUUUAUUUUUUAGACAAUUUAUUGUUGAUAUAUAGAAAUACAACUGAUUUUUGUAUUUUGAUUUUGUAUUCUACAAGUUUUCUAAAUUUAUUUAUUCUAAUGGUUUUGGGGUGGAUUCUUUUAAGGUUUUCUAUAUAUAAGAUCAUGUCAUCUGAAAUCAUGCCAACUGGAACAGACAAUUUAACUUUUUUCAUUCCAAUGUGGAUGCCUUUUAUUACAUUUUCUUGCCUUAUUGCUUUGGUUAGGACUUUCAGUACCAUGUGGAAUAGAAGUGUCAAGGAUGGGCAUCCUUGUAUUGUUCCUGUUCUUAGAGGAAAAGCUUUCAGCUUUUCACCCUUGAAUGUGAUAUUAGUUUGGGCCUGUCAUAUAUGGCCUUUAUUAUGUUGAGAUACAUUCUUUCUAAACCUAAUUUGUUAAGAGGUUUUUUUUUUAAUCAUGAAAGAAUGUUAAAUUUUUUUGAAUACUCUUGUCACCUAGGCUGGAGUGCAAUGGCACAAUCACGGCUUACUACAACCUCUGCCUCCUGGGUUCAAGUGAUUCUCCCACCUCAGCCUCCUGAGUAGCUGUAAUUACAGGUGUGUGCAAUGAUGUCCAGCUAAUUUUUGUAUUAUUAGUGGAGACAGGGUUUCACUAUGUUGGCCAGGAUGGUCUUGAACUCCUGACCUCAGAUGAUCCACCUGCCUCAUCCUCCCAAAGUGCUGGGGUUGCAGGUAUGAGCCACCAUGCCUGGCUUUGUUGAACACUUUUUAUGCGUUCAUUGAGAUGUUCAUAUGAUUUCUGUUAAUGUGGUGUGUCACAUUUAUUGAUUUGUAUAAAUUGAACCAUACUUGUAUCCCACAGAUAAAUCCCACUUAAUCAUGAUGAAUGAUCUUUUUAAUGUGUUGUUGAAUUCUGUUUGUGAGUAUUUUGUUAAGGAUUUUUGCAUCUAUGUUCAUCAGGGAUAUUGGCUCAUUAUUUUAUUUUAUCGUUGUGUUCUUAGCUGGCUUUGAUAUGAUGGUAAUGGUGGCCUCAUAAAAUGGAUUUGGAAGUAUUUCCUUAUUUUCAAUUUUUUGGAAGAGUUUGAGAAAGGUUGGCAUUAAUUAUUUUUUAAAUGCUUAGUAGAAUUUGCCUAUAAAGCCAUCUGGUCCUGGAAUUUUCUUUGUUGGGAGGUUUUACAUUACUGAUUCAAUUUCUUUACAUGUUGUUAGUCUGUUCAGCUUUUCUAUUUCUUCAUGAUUCAGUCUUGGUAGAUUGCAUGUCUCUAGAAAUUUAUUAAUUUCUUCUAAGUUAUCAAAUUUGCCGGUACAUAAUUGUUCAUAGUUGUCUUUUAGCAUCUUUGUAUUUUUGUGGCAUCCGUUAUAAUAUCUCCUUUCUCAUUUAAAACUUUGUUUAUUUGAUUCCCCCCCUCUCUCUUUUUGGUUAGUCUAGCUAUGUUUUCAACUUCAUUUUUCCCAGAAAGCAUCUGUUAAUCUUAUUAAUCUUUUCUAUUGUCAUUAUAGUCUCUAUUUCAUCUCUAAUCUUUAUUUCCUUCCUGCUGUUGACUUUGGGUUUUAGUUUUUCUUCUUUUUCUAGUUCCUUGAGGUGUAAAGUUAGGGUGUUUACUUGAGACUUUUGUUUAAAAAAUAGGCAUUUACUACUCUAGAUGGCUCCAUAAAAAUAUUUUUGCUGCAUACCAUAAGUUUUGGUAUGUUAUGUUUCCAUUUUUAUUUGUCUCAAGAUACUUAUUGAGUUCCCUUUUUAUUUCUUCUCCAAUUUAUUGGUUGUUCAGUAGUGUGUUGUUUAAUUUUGUGUCCCAGCAUAUGAUCUAGCCCAGAGAAUGUUUCAUGUGUUCUUGAGAAGGAAAUAUAUUUCACUGCUGUUUUGUAGAAUGCUCUAUAAAUGUCUAUUAGGUCCAUUCAGUUUACAUGUUAUUCAAGGCCACUAUUUUCUUAUUAAUUUUCUGUCUGGAUGACAUAUUUAUUGUUCAAAGUAAAGUAUUGAAGUCCCCUAGUAUUUCUAUAUUGUCCAUUUCUCCCUUUAACUCUAUUAAUAUUUGCUUUAUAUAUUUAGAUUCUUCAAUGUGGAGUGCACAAAUAUUUACAAUUAUUGUAUCCUCUUGAUGAAUUGACAGCCUUAUCAUUAUAUAGUGACCUUUUUUUGUCACUUGUGACAGGUUUUUGACUGAAGGUCUAUUUUGUCUUGUAUUAGUAGAGGCACUUCUGCUUUCUUUUGGUUAUCAUUGGCAUGGAAUAUCUUUUCCAUCCCGUCACUUUCAGUCUCUAUGUGUCCUCAAAGCUAAAAUGAGCCUCUUGUGGUCAGCAUGUUGUUGGAUAUUAAUUGUUGUUUUAAAAAUUCAUUUAGCCAUACUGUGUCUUUUGAUUAGAAAAUUUAACUCAUUUACAUUUAAAGUAAUUAUUGAUGUGGAAAGAAUUACUAUUGCCAUUCUGUUUAUUGUAUUUGAACUGUUUUGUAGUUCUUUUGCUCUGUUCUCUCUUGCUGUCUUCCUUUGUGAUCUGCUGAUGUUUUUUUUAUCCAUAUGUUUUGAUUCUUUUUUCUUUAUUGUUUGUGUACCUACUACAGAUCUUCUCAUUGUGUUUCCAUGAAGCUCACCUAAAAUAUCAUAUGGUUAUAAUAUCUAUUUUGAUCUUAUAACAAUUUUAAUUGCAUAUAAACACUACAUUUUACCUCUUCACUGCUCCCCCUUGUUUUAUGCUAUGGGUGUCAUACUUUACAUCUUUUUAUAUUGUGUAUCCAUUAGCCAAUUACUAAAUCUAUGGGUUUUAAAAUAGUCUUGUUUUUAACUUUUACACUAGAGUUAAAAGUGACUUAUAUGUCAUCAUUAUAGCAUUAGAAUAUUCUUAAUUUGACUAUAUAUUUGUUUUUGCCAGUAAGUAUUAUACUUUCAUAUGUUUUUAUGUUGUUACUUAGCAUCACUUUUUUUCAACUGAAAGAAUUUUCUAUAGUAUUUCUUAUAAGGCAGAUCUCAUGGAGAUAAAGUACCUCAGCUUUUAUUCAUCUGGGCAAACCAAAUUGUCUCAGACAAAUAAAAGCUGAGGGACUUUAUCCUUUAGAUGUGAGUGUUGAAAGGAUAGAGGGACCUUAUUCUUCAGAAAUGAAAGCUUUGCUGAGUGUAGUGCUCUUGGUUGGCAGGGUUUUUUCUUCAGUACUUUAAAGAUAUUGUCUAAUUCCCAGCUAGUUUCCAAGUUUUCUGCUGAGGUGUCCUCUGAUAGCUUUAUGGAGUUUCCUUGUAAUUGAUGAGUCUCUUUUCUUAUGCUGCUUUUGGGAUUCUCUUUGUCUUUUGACAAUUUGAUUAGAAUGUUCCUUGGGAUAUUCUUCUUUGGGUUGAUUUUUGUUGGGAUCCUUUGAGCUUCAUGGAUCUGGAUGUCUCUCUCAAGAUUUGGAAACUUUUUUCUUUUAAAGCCAGUAUUUAUUUAAAUAAGCUUUCUGUCCCUUUCUCUCUCUCUUCUCCUUCUGAAACUCCCAUAAUUUGUAUAUUUAUCCCCUUGAUAGUGUCCCAUAGGACUCUUAUGCUUCACUCUUUUCUAUUCAUUUUUCUUUCUGCUUCUCUUGUUGGCUAUUUUCAAAUGACCUGUCUUUGGGUUUACUAAUUAUUUAUUCUGCAUGAUUGAAACUGGUGUUGAAACUCUCUUGUAUUUUUUAGUUCUUUCAUUAUAUUCUUUAGCACCAGUAUUUCUGUUUGGUUCUUUUUAAUGGUUCCUGUUUGUUUAUUAAACUUCUCAUUUUUGUUUAUGCAUUGUUUUUCUUAUUUCAUUUAGUUGUCUGUAUUGUCUUGCCUCUCACUGAGCUUCUGUAAGAUGUUUAUUUUGAAUUAUUUUUCAGGCAGUUUAUAGACAUUCAUUUCUUUGGGGCCAACCACUAAAGCUUUAUUAGUUUCUUUGGUGGUGUCAUACUUGCUUGAUUCUUUGUCAUCUGUGUAGCCUUGUGUUGGUGUCUAGGAAUUUGAAAGAGGAAACACCUCUUUAGUCUUUAUAGACUAGUUUUGGCAGAUGAAGACCUCCCACUGGGUCCCUGACCUCAUGGGACUGCUUCUAGUGUUGUCGCCAAGUGGGAUUUCACCUGAGUCAUGUGGAUGCUGUUGGGUCUGCAGUGGAGUCUGCAGCCAGUGGGCUCUUGUCCUGGCAAAAAAAUCAGCAGCCUGUUACCAGGGGUUUUAAGGAUUGUAGAUCUUGUCUGGUCCCUGGGUGGACUGGAUUGCCUUUAGGACCUUGGUAAGUAGGGGCUGGUGCUGGGAUGGGAGUCUGAUUCAGGGUCCACAGAUAGUGGGUCUGUUACUAAGUAUGUGGAUAGGUCUGUCUUCCUUCAAGUUCCUUGGAAGCCUUCAACUGAGUCAGUGGAUGGGUCCCUGGGCAGGCAGUACUGGCCUCAGGUCAUGGCUGAGAGGGGCUGGAACUGAGUUAUAAACAUGUUUAAGAGUCCACAGCCGAGAUUAAGGUCUGCAGGCUUGUCUCUGGUGGUACAGACAAGCAGGUCUCCCUCUGGCCCUUGGGAUGACAAGACAGUGCUUUGAGACAACAGUGGAGAGGAACUGGAGCCAAGUUACAAGAUUGUUUCAAGAUCUGCAGUGGCACUGGGCUUGGUGAGUCUACCUACAAUGGCAUGGGCAGGUAAAAGUGAUUUCAUGACAUGCUUUCUGUAUUUUCGGCUAAUCGGUUUUUACUUUUUAAAUAGAUUUUCUCUUUUGUUUUUAAUAUUUUAAUUUGUUUCACUAGGUAUUGGAGUAGGAGAUUCUGGGAUCCUGCUUUAUUUUAUUGUAUUUACCAAAAUUUCUGCUUGGCCAGCCUCUGUAGCCAUUUUUCCUGAGCAAGGCACUUUGUCACAAACCCUAUCAGAAAGGUGCCUAUCUCAAGCAAAGCAGAGGUAUAUCUGCUGUCACUCUUCAGCUUUGCAUCUUAAAAAGUAAAAAAUCUGGAAGCUGCAGUUUCUUUACCAGCACUAGGCCUGUUACUGGGGGCAACAGACCAUCAUGCCACAUUUACCCUGAGUUAUAGGACAUUCUUCUGUAAUUCUUGCUUGUUACAAAACAAAGCAGAAUUGUGUGAGUUUAACUCAGCAUAAGUGUUUACUGUAUUUUUUUUAAAUGAAACUUAUUUAUGAAAAACAGUUUUAGUGCAAUGGAUCAGAACAAUGUUUUUAGAAUCAGACAGAGCUAGGUCUGAAUCCUGGUCCUGUAUUUUACUAACUGUGUCUGUAAGUAUUCAAUGGGUUCUUAAUUAAGGAAAAGAACAUUGGCAAGUUAUGUUGUUUCCCCAAACCUCAAAUUCUUUCUCUACAAAAUAAGGAUAAUAAUAGUACUACUUCAGCUUUUGUAACAGGGAUUAAAAGAGAUCAUUCAUGUGAAGUGCCUGAUGUAGGGCUUGGCGCAUAUCAAAGUCACCAUUUAGAUCAAGAUUUAAAGAAAUGAAACCCUCAGGCACACUUAUGUGCAUCAUUCAUUAACUUAGAUUGUUUGCCAAUAAUUAUUGCUUGAUUUAAUCCCAGUUUUCUCACAAACUUGAGCAAACCUAACAUAAUAAGAUGCUUGUAAAUCUUUAAGUCUGUGCCAGAAUUGCAGCUGCUCAUCCAUAGCUAGGGCUAUGUCAGCAAUUGCUAACCUCCUUCACUUCUGGCUCAAUACAUUUAAAUCUGAGUUCUCCUUUACCCUGUGUACAGGAGAAAAAAAGGGCUCCCUUUUUCCAACUGCUCUGUUUCAUCAGUGUUACCCUCUUUCCUCCAAUUUCCAAACUUACAAAAUGCACUGUUGGCUUUCCUCUCCUGUGUGUAGUCUUACAUUUAAUCUACACAGUCUGACCAGGUGUUCUGUCUCAGACGUCUCUCACUCUUGGGUACACGAGCUUUGCUUCCCCAGCAAAGCUGUAGAGUAGGGCUCGUGUCUCUUCUCUAGAAUUCCCCAGAGCUCCCAUCCAGAGAUAGACAUGCUGUAGGUGCUUGGGAAAUGCUCACUGACUGAGGACACUGUGAGCUACCAUGACCAUCUAUCUUAUCUGGAAUAGUUUCCCUUUCACUCUCCAUCCUCUUGCCCUGACUACUUUCUUCAUAUUGCUCAUGACUACUUGAUGUGAGAUGUUUACUCUUUGUCAAUUGCCUGUUUGGGUCUCAGGGUACAGAAGCACCAUAAGGACAGCAGCACCAUCUGUUUUGUUCCCUGCUCUAUCUCUAUCAUCUGUAAGAUUUGCUCAGCACAGAGUAGAUUUUCAGUAAACAUGUGUGAAAUGAACAGAGGCCCCAAAGUCCACCACUAUGGAAAUUUGGUUACAUGUUCAACAUUGGAUUCUGAGAGGAAGUCCCUAGUAAGUUUUUUGUGCAAAUGCCCGUGCUUUAUCAAAUGGUAUAAAGUGGUGGCCAAAGGAAAGAGGGAGAGAGGAGAGAGACAGAGAGAGAGGGGCAAAGAACACACACAUACACACACAUGCACACACACACACAGAAUUGCACUAGUUAAUUGUAUCUAGUGACAAGUCACUUGGAGUCAGCUCAAUACCUUUUUACCUGUCUGAUGGCCUAAUCAAAGUCUGCCUUCCUUAAUCCCAUUCGCCAUCCCUCACAUUGAUCCGAAACCAGAGAAGAGAGAAGAGCACAGGCCCUGGGGCAAAGUGAAUGCAAUUAACAGCCCUGUGGCUUCAUUUCAAAGCUGUCACCCAGCAGUUUGCCCUAAUGCAGCAGAUUUUUUUUCCCUCUGGGCUAUUUCUCUUUUCACCUUUCCUUCUGCAAUUCAUAUUUUGAACAGCAAGCAGGCCAAAAACUUAUAAAAAGAAACUGUUUACACCAGGGAUUCCCAAACUUUUGGAAGUCAUGGAACCUUGGUUUAAAGAAAAUUCAUGGCAGAUGGAGACUUUACAGUUAUAUCUAGAGGUCACAGAUAUUUAUUGGGCACUUUCUACUCACACCAAUUUUUUUUUAGGCUCAGAGAGGUAAAGACAGUUGCUACAGGUCACACAGCUAAUAAGUGGUAGAGCUGAGAUUUGAACCCAAGUCCUGGUUUUUGGCACAGGACUCUAGUCUCUUACACCCAAGAUUUCUUCUUGGGCCAUGAGAAGAAGGUCCAUGCAAGGCCCAAAGUGCCUCCCAUGUGCAAGCAUCAACUCAGGACACAUGAGGAAUGGGUGGCAGAGAUAAGGGCAGGCAGGGCUUCUAGAUCCAGGCAUCCUCCCUGGCCAGUCCAGACGGGUCUGCCAGUUCCUUUCAAAUCUGACUCAAAAGGUCAAAUAUUAACCAUGGAGUGACUGAAGGAACUUGUUCUAGAAAGGCUGGGGGGAGGGUAGCAUUUGGUGUUUCUCACUAAGCUAUACUUUCAGCCAUCCUAGUCAAUUCCAUGGCAGCAUUGAGUGGGCCAAGCGGGGAGGAACUGAUCUGUAAAUGGCAGAGAACAGUCAAUUGCAAUGUAUGGCAGGAGGGGCUGCCCAGGGCAAUAAGACUGGAACCGGGUAUGGACUCCUUUGGAGGCUGCCUUCCCUGGAUCUGCAUUAUGGGCUUCUCUGCUGGCUGGCCCUGAGAACCCGGAUGAACUUUAGGGCUGGUUGGGGAUUCCCCUAGCUAGCUGCAAUUCAGUCGAGGUCCUUCUGGAGUAGCAGCUGGCCAAGGUGAUGUGCCAGGCCUUCUAGGAAAGCACAUGCAGCUUCCCCACUUGGCUCCUGGAUAGAGGGCAGCCAGGUACAGCAAGAGUAGGAGACAGGGUGCACACGGAUGGUAGAAGGAGCGCAGAGGUCAUAUGCCAUGGCAUUAAAGGAGAGUCCCUCCAUUACUCUGGAGAGCUCUCUUGCUUCCCCUGAGAGGGUUUGUGUAUGGGGAGGUAGGAUGAGCAGAAUGGAGGCUCCUGACAUCUGCAACGACCUGGUGUGAGGUCUGCAAAAAAAUCUUACAUUUUUCUUGCUACCCUAGAGAAUGUCCUGGUGGGUCUUUCUUAAGUGGUUUUUAACACCUUUAGGCCUACCAGCCCAGGACACUGCAGGGGUGGAAGCCACAGCGGCUGUCACAGGGUGUAUUCUAGAUUCAUAAAUGCAUGGAUUGUGUGCUCACUGGGGGUCAUAAGGGAUGCGGACCAACAACAUGGCCAAGGAGCAUGGCCCUCUUAGUGUUGGUUGAAACAAAUGGUUACUACUUUUCACUCCUGCCUGAAGCCUUGCCUUUUGCCUGUGACUUUGCAGCACCUCCCAUCAAGAGAUGAGUCUAUUUUCCUACCCUGUGAGCCAAGACUUGGCCAACAUAAUGUGAUGGGAACUAUAGAGUGCCACCUCUGAGCUAGAUUUCAAGAGACUAUACUCACUCCACUUGCUUUUGGAUGCCUGUGCCUGUCGCUUGGACAACCCUGGGCCAGCCCACCAGAGAGUGAGCCAUCCAGGGCCUGCUACUCCUGCUGCUCCAGCUGAUGGGAGUGAGGCCACUGCAGGCCAGCCAGCUUCCUGGUCCCCCACUCAUUGACUACAGACACAGAGCGAACCAGCCAAGUUCAGACAGACCUGGCCCAAACCACAAGCAUUUCCCAGCCAACUCCCCAAUGUCUGUGGCAAAAAUAAUUGGUGAUUGUUUUAAGUCAUGAAGUUUUGGGGCAGUUUGUUCCCCAGCAAUAGCUAGUGGCAUGGUCUGAAGUAUUUUUAGAUGUGCUCCAUGCUGGUCUGUGGGGUGGUUGGCAGGGCAAAAAUGGGCAUGAUAUGAAGAGCCCUGAGUGUCUCAUAAAAAUAUGAGAUGGUGGGUAUGAGGAGAUUGUACUUUAACUGGUGCUGAAUGCAGAGAAGGUCCCUGCUUCAGUUCAGGAGACAAGACAGUGGGGGAGGAAAAUGUAUGCCCAAGACAGACUCCAAAUGUUACCUUCUUAUUACACAAGACAAGAAAUACAUCAAUAUGCUCUUUUAAGACAAUUGAAAGAUUCCAGAUAAACCCCAAAUUCCCUUUGACCAACGCUUACUCUCAUGCAUUCCCCAAAGCAAUUACUCUUAUGAAGCUGGUGGUGUCCUUCCAGACCUCAAAAAUAUUCUUCCAUGUUGAUAUGGGUAGAUGUAGAUUUAAGUUCAAUUUUUAAAUUGUACAAUAGUCUAUUGCAUGAGCAUAAGAUGUUAAGAACAUCUUAGUUAGCUGUUCUCCAGUUGUUGGAAAUACCCUUAUUUCCAGCGUCCACUUGCAACAUCCCUGUAUGUGCCUCCUUAGGCACCAGGGGUUCUCUGGGGAACCAAAACCAGAAGUAAAGUUGCUGGGCCCUGAGACACAUGCAUUUUCACAGGGCACAAGAACGAACAAUUUCCUUUCACCUUGACAGCACAUGAGAUUAUCAAAAUAUUUUUUGCCAAUUACAGAGGUGAAUAAAGAGA